CCUUCUCAAAGCCCCUGUGCUCUGCUGCUGUGGGGGCUUUAUGCUUUGGAUUGCUUAUUCGCUUGCAGGGACAUUGCGGUUCUGCAUCAACACCACUAAAGACAUUACAGAGCUCGAUGAAAGCAUUUUGCAUUGCUGCUUGUAAUGAAAGAGGAAAGGAGCUUUCUCCACCUUCUGACCCCCCUCUCUCAAGCACCAAUGCAAAGGAGGAUUUAUUGUUUCAUGAGCAGCGUGAUCAUGCUUUACAGGAAGGGGUCUUUCUGAAGGUUACUACAAUUAGCAGUGGCAACAGGCUCCAACAUCAUCAUUAGCAACAGUUCCUGACUUGUUAUGACUCUGAAAUGGCGCAGGCAUCAUUAAUGGCACACUGAAAACUGGUCUGGAUGAUGUGUUUUUGCGUGACCUAAUCUAGGUAUUUCUGCUCUGGCAGAAGGAUUGGACUAAAUGAUCUUUAGAGGCUCCUUCCAAUCUCUGACAUUCUGUGAUUCUUGACAAUAUGGAAGCACCUGAGCCAUGACUGCACAUGCCGGAAUGCAGUGAGCCACAUGCCACAGCACCUCAGACUCUUCUGCUGCUUCUACUCUCACUGAAGAUGAGUACUAUCCUCACCUGUAUUUCAGCACUGGUAACACUAUUACUGCCUUUGGCUUUGCUUUUCAGGACGUAUUUUGUGUGUACACGUCCCUGUACUAAGUCACUAUACAUUCUUCAUGGAGGAAUUCAGUUUCACCACUUUGCAUCAGACACUCUUCCAUGUCAGAAGCUAUUUUGUUGGACUGCCAUCUGUUUCAUGGCAACAAUGUGUAAUGGAAUAUUGUUGAGUAAGGUUCAGCCUCUACUGCCAUACCACCAUCAUCUGCCUCAUAUGUUGUGGGCCAACAUCAUAAAACAGGAAGCAUUACUUUCAGAGCAUCCUUUGUAUAAAAUAUAAUAUAGUUAAUGUACAUAAGUACCCAAACUUAUUUUAACUUUUAAUAUUUUUAGUAAAAAAAAUAACAGCAACAAAUCCAUAAAACUACAGGGAUAUUUGACCUUGUUUUUCUGAAGUUGGUGCAUCAGACUAGUUUGAAGGUAGAGGGCACAAUUCUUA